rnacentral:lncRNA from 1 species
CGCGUGCAUCUGGGCCGUCCGUGCGAUUGCAUUUGGGCCGUCCGUGCGCACGCUUGAUCUGGGCUGUCCGUGCGCGCGGGGACGCAUCUGGACCGUCCGAUCGCGCGCACGCAGAUCACCCACGUGGCUCGUUCCCCGGUCGACGUGGUCUUGCCACGUGGCAGGUCCUGGUUGGUCAGGGUUGCUGACUGGGCCGCUGACGUAGCGCUGACGGG